rnacentral:rRNA from 1 species
UACGAAGGGGGCUAGCGUUGUUCGGAAUCACUGGGCGUAAAGCGCACGUAGGCGGAUGUGCCAGUCAGGGGUGAAAUCCCGGAGCUCAACUUCGGAACUGCCUCUGAUACAGCACGUCUUGAGUCCGGAAGAGGUGGGUGGAAUUCCGAGUGUAGAGGUGAAAUUCGUAGAUAUUCGGAAGAACACCAGUGGCGAAGGCGACUCACUGGACAUGUAUUGACGCUGAGGUGCGAAAGCGUGGGGAGCAAACAGG